rnacentral:rRNA from 1 species
UACAUGGGGUGCAAACGUUGCUCGGAAUUAUUGGGCGUAAAGCGCGCGUAGGCGGUUACUUAAGUCGGAUGUGAAAGCCCUCGGCUUAACUGAGGAAGUGCACCCGAAACUGAGUAGCUAGAGUACGAAAGAGGGUUGCGGAAUUCCCGGUGUAGAGGUGAAAUUCGUAGAUAUUGGGAGGAACACCGGUGGCGAAGGCGGCGACCUGGGUCGAGACUGACGCUGAGACGCGAAAGCGUGGGGAGCAAACAGG